UACAGAGGUCCCAAGCGUUGUUCGGAUUCACUGGGCGUACAGGGUGCGUAGGUGGCGGGGUAAGUUUGAUGUGAAAUCUCCGAGCUCAACUCGGAAAUGGCAUUGAAUACUACUCUGCUCGAGGUUUGGAGGGGGGACUGGAAUUCUCGGUGUAGCAGUGAAAUGCGUAGAUAUCGAGAGGAACACCAGUGGCGAAGGCGAGUCCCUGGACAACACCUGACACUGAGGCACGAAAGCUAGGGGAGCAAACAGG
rnacentral:rRNA from 1 species